GUGCUAGGCCGUUUGUCCGUGCCCAUCGUCGUCUUCCCAUUCGUUCUGAACAUCUUGCCCCGAAGUUUCCUCCCGCGGCGGCGCGGUGCUGAGGAGAGUGCUACCGCCGUCUGCGGCUAGGGUUCAAGCCGACAGAUUGGGGAAGAGACACGCUUAUCCUGCACCUGCGUCAUGGAGAGAACACAGGUAAAGUUCUCCACUCAAAUGCUGUGAAGUCACCUUUGCAAAGGGAAAAAAAUACCGUGAGGGUCAGCAGUAACUUAUAUGAGGAAACAAAGGAAGAGAGCAAUUGAACAAAAAUAAGACUACAGCGGAAAAUGUUUCCUUUUCAGAUAAUCCAUUUGGUGGACCUUCCGUCUCCCAAACAGGACCAGGCCACGCAUAAUUCUGAACACCAAAAAGAUGGCAAAAGGAUAAUAUUGUUUGUUGCGUCUUACAUGAAUCAUAAUUGAGCAAGCAAAUUUAGAAAAUAAGAGGGAAAACAAUCUACAUGACGGUUUUCAAUAGCCUCUCCUACAUUUUUCCCUUUUGUUUUAUACCUUUAUUUCCUGUAUUUUUAUCUUUGACUAUUGUAAUGUUGAUCUUCACUUUCUUUUCUUUCACUUGUAUUGCAUAUCUUGAAGCCUUUUGCUCUUUUCAUAUGUUCCUUGGACAUGAGAUCAUGGAUAUUAUAAAGGACACGAGCGUAUGCUCACUUGGCCUGGAAACAAAACUAUAAUUACAAAAUUCCAAAGAGAAAUACAAGCUUGUAUGUUUUUA